rnacentral:rRNA from 1 species
CCCUCAGAUGUUCUGGGCCGCACGCGUGCUACACUGAGUAAUUCAAUGGGUAAGGGAACGCUAGAGCAUUACCUAAUCUUGAAAUUUGCUCGUGAUGGGGAUCGACGGUUGCAAUUUUCCGUCGUGAACGAGGAAUACCUUGUAGGCGCAUGUCAUCAUCAUGCGCCGAAUACGUCCCUGCCCUUUGUACACACCGCCCGUCGCUCCUACCGAUUGAGUGAUCCGGUGAGGCUCUGGGACCUGGACGGAAAGAGCGUUUCGCUUGUUCUGUUUGGGAAACUUGGUCGAACCUUAUCAUUUAGAGGAAGGAGAAGUCGUAACA